rnacentral:lncRNA from 1 species
UAGGUAUGCUCAGCUAUAUUCAGUAAGUGGCAGAACUAAUCUUCAAUUCAUGUUGAAUAAGUAAGUUGCAUCCUCUAGUAGCAAUUUUGUACAUCUUGAUUUUGGUAAUUGAAAAGCAAAAAACGUGUUAAAUAGUAAUGACAAUCUUCAUGAGCAAUGAACAUUCAUUUACAUUGAUUUCGAUCUUAGCUUUGCAUGGUCCACAAGUGAAAAAAUCACCUAAGCAUAUUGCAUAGAGAUGAUGGCUUUUUUCUUGAACUUUUCUUAUAUAUUUACAUAGAUACUUGAUUUUGAUCUUUAGAUUAGGACCAUAGGUAUCACCUCUUAUCUUAAAAAGUGCUUAUUAUUGUUUUGAUUCUUAAUUAGGGAUGACUUCUUCUUUGUUUGAUUUUUAAUGUUUUGAUUCUUAAUUAGGGAUGACUUCUUCUUUGUUUGAUUUUUAAUUCCUCUUACAAGAUAUUAAUUUUUGCCAUUCAAUCCAUCUAAGGCCAGUUCAAUCAUUCCCAUUUCAAUGCUUUUGUUUCUAAUAAUUCCUCUUACACUCUGAAUGCAACAUUUCUUGAAACAAAUAGUAGCUUUUUUUGGCAUUGAUUUUUGCCCUUUUUCUUGACUCUCUUUUGUCCUUUUUGCUAAAUCUAUGACUGAACUAGCAAAGAUUUCUUUAUAUCUUUAACAUGCUAGAAGACUCUAGGUCUUCAUUUUGUGAUUUGAAGACCUAUGCUUUCAAAAUGUAGUAUUAAAUUAAUUAUUGCAAUACCAUAGAAUCAUACACACGAAGAGUAGAUAAACAAUAGUCUAUUCAGGAAUUGCUUUUGCAAAACAUUUGGUUCAUUUGUAUACAUAUCAAGCACCUAAUGACAUAAAGCAGCAUGUGGAGGCAUGUUCUGAUCCAAAAAAAAUUAUAUAUGAAUCUAAUACAAUAUAUAUACUUUUUAAAUUCCUUACUAAAUGUUUUUGUUUCGUUACAUAUGGAUGC